UACGUAGGGGGCUAGCGUUGUCCGGAAUCAUUGGGCGUAAAGAGCGUGUAGGCGGUCCGGUAAGUCCGCUGUGAAAGUCGGGGGCUCAACCCUCGAAUGCCGGUGGAUACUGUCGGGCUAGAGUGCGGAAGAGGCGAGUGGAAUUCCUGGUGUAGCGGUGAAAUGCGCAGAUAUCAGGAGGAACACCGGCGGCGAAGGCGGCAUCCUGGACUGGUCCUGACACUCAGGAGCGAAAGCGUGGGGAGCGAUCCGG
rnacentral:rRNA from 1 species